GAUGAACGCUAGCUACAGGCUUAACACAUGCCAGUCGAGGGGAAACGACAUCGAAAGCUUGCUUUUGAUGGGCGUCGACCGGCGCACGGGUGAGUAACGCGUAUCCAACCUGCCCAUCACUUGGGAAUAACCUUGCGAAAGUAAGACUAAUACCCAAUGACAUCCCACGAAGACAUCUGAAUGGGAUUAAAGAUUUAUCGGUGAUGGAUGGGGAUGCGUCUGAUUAGCUUGUUGGCGGGGUAACGGCCCACCAAGGCAACGAUCAGUAGGGGUUCUGAGAGGAAGGUCCCCCACAUUGGAACUGAGACACGGUCCAAACUCCUACGGGAGGCAGCAGUGAGGAAUAUUGGUCAAUGGGCGAGAGCCUGAACCAGCCAAGUAGCGUGCAGGAUGACGGCCCUAUGGGUUGUAAACUGCUUUUAGAAGGGAAUAAAGUGGGUCUCGUGAGACUUUUUGCAUGUACCUUAUGAAUAAGGACCGGCUAAUUCCGUG
rnacentral:rRNA from 1 species